UGAGUAACACGUAUCCAACCUGCCGUCUACUCUUGGACAGCCUUCUGAAAGGAAGAUUAAUACAGGAUGGCAUCAUGAGUCCGCAUGUUCACAUGAUUAAAGGUAUUCCGGUAGACGAUGGGGAUGCGUUCCAUUAGAUAGUAGGCGGGGUAACGGCCCACCUAGUCUUCGAUGGAUAGGGGUUCUGAGAGGAAGGUCCCCCACAUUGGAACUGAGACACGGUCCAA
rnacentral:rRNA from 1 species